ensembl:lncRNA
CGUUGUUGCUCGCUGAGAGAAGUGCUGAGUGGACCCUCCUGUUGGAGCCGCUGCACUUCCCUUUGUCCCGCAGAUUUGUUUUUUUUCCAUCCUGGUUGAGCUUUCUAGCGUGACACUAAUAAGUCCAUAGCAUCAUAUAUGCGGCUUAGCAGGGCGCAGGGGGCAUAUCCUAACAAAUGUGCGGAGUCAAUUGGUUUCCCAAGGGGACGCUACUGAGAAGCUGGCUCACCAAGUCCCGACCCAGACUGCUGCUGCUCAUCGCUGGCUUGAAGAGGCCUCAAGUCACCCUCAUGCGCAGAAAAAGGAUGAAACGCACAAAAGUAGCAAAGGCCACGUAAGCGAACCUGUAGUCGUAUGCCGCACUUCACUUGACUCGCUGACACAGAGAGAAGCUCCAUCUGCCGUUGAUAUGAAUGCAGAUCCAGAAACAGAAAAAGCCUCUGAGUCAUCUCUGCCAAACAUACGAACUAAACAUCAAAGCAGAAGCAGAAGAGGCUCAGCGUUUGUUGUGAAAAUGAUGGAUCUACCACAAAGAUCCAGACCCCCCGACUAAGAUCCAGAGCCUCUCAGUGACAUUUGUUCAUCUUUCUCUUAAAUACACUUCUGUCAUGCUUCAGUUCACUACACAACGUGUGACAGCACAUUAUUGCUAUUGCCUUUGGUUGACAGUGCUUUCCUUUCCUGUGUUCCUGUGUUCAGAGACAAUCCUCUGGUCAGGAUUUCAGGGACUUGUAUUUUUUGAUUCCUAAUGAUGCGUGUGGGUGAAAAAUAUGAAGAAAAUAAUGAAAAACAGAAAGAAAAACUCAUAAUUGCCACGAGUUAGUAACCAACAGCACACCAGUGUUUUAUUCAUACAUUUUAUAUGAUAGUUAUAUCAUUCCAAAUGGACCGUUAUGUGGUCCCAUUAUCAUUUAACCAAAACAAUAAUCAUAGAAACAUUAUUAUUUUUAUUUAAAAAAAAUAUAUUAAUUAAUUAAUUGAAAAAAAAUCAAGCAGCUAUUUGACAUCUUAUAACUAACAGGUUAUUAUUGAACACGUCCAAAAAACUGCAUUAAUAAUUGUUAGGUGAAUCUCAUGAAGCAUGUCAAAUCUGGCACAAAAUCCAUGAUAGAAAUAAGAAAUUAUAUUUUGCAUUAAGAAAACUAUCAUAUUUUAGGACCAUUAGUAUUUUUGUUUACAUAUUUUACUAACACAUUUUCCACCAAAAUAGUCAUUUCUAAAAUGUUUUUUUUUUUCCCCUCAAUAGUUAUUCUUAUUACAUUCUCAUUAUUAUCGUACACUAAUUCUAAAUUCUGCAUGUCUGGGCACAUUAUAUAAAAACAAAUGUUAUCAAUUAUAAAUACACUUUAUUUUGAAUCAUUUUAAUUUAAUUUAUCUUUCUUUUUGCAAAAAUAUAAUUCAUAUAUUUUAUAAAUGGUUUUAUAAAUAUUUUAGUUUACAAUUUUUGUUAAUUGGUUUCUUGUUUCAUCUGAUUUUGAGGUGAAAUAUUACUCAAACAUGUCUUAACGUGUUUCGUGAGAUUCGCCCACACAAUACGAUGACUCAAAACACAUGCUUGCACAGUUUGAAACUUAUUUUCUCUUUUGAACAAUUCUGUCUUUUGUGUUCAUACUGUCUUCUAUCUCUAGCUACUGUCAAAGCAGACACACAGAUUUGUUUGAACAAUCACAUAAAUUUCUGAGCAUUUUAAGAUUUUUUUCAGUUAUUCUUUGAAUAAACAAGGUAACACUUUAUAUUAAGUCAUCCCAUUUGUCCUUUGUUACAUAUUUGUAGUUAUAACAUAUGAAGUAGUAAUCACACAAUUCUAAACCAAAAAUACAAACAUCUCUAAUAUAAUAUAUAUACAGACAAAGCAAACAACUGACAUCAGCUCUUUUAUAAUAUUUGUUUAAUAUUUGUUUUUAUUAAUUAAAUUAUUCAAAACUAAGUAAGCACUUAAUAUAAAGUGUGACCAUCAUGUGGCAUUAUGUAAAAACCUAAGCCCUGAGGAUGAUUUAUGGGAAUUUUUCUAUUGUAUAACACUAAUUACACACACAUACAGUCUUGCGUUGUCUUUAGUUGUCGUUUUUGCAGUGCUAGUUUGAAUCAGUUUUCAUUAUAUUUAAUCUAUUUUCUAGUUUCUCAUUUGCUUUUUUCAUUCGACUGAUUUCCUUUCAAGCAUUAAAUAUGAAACCCAUUGAGGAAGAUGCAAAGAGAUCCUGCGGGAUAAGAAAGUAAACAUGAGCAGGUUCGACUUACUGCACAAUUCACCCAUUCUGUGUCCUAACCAGAUGUGAAGCAACAAGUUUCUUGUGUAAUUCGAUCUGUCUGCACUCAAACACGACACAAUCACAUACAGUCAGAUGAUAUUUGACAUAUAAUAUUUAGUUAUAUGGGCCAAUGAGAGUAACUUUAUUACAGCAGGUCUGGUUGGGACACCGUGCAAAAGGUUUAGCUUCAGAGGUUACGUGAUUUCAGAUGGGCGAGUGUUUGGGAUGUUAUUUUGCGGUGAGUUUCUGCUGGAUGAGCCUGUAUCUGUUGAGCUGCUGCUCAGAGACGGAUGGCUGAAGGCUUGCCAGAGCCUGUCUGAAGUCUUCUGAACACAGAGUCAGAGCGCUGGCCUCUGAAUCCACACUUGCAUCACAGACACAGCAAUGAAGAAAGAGUGAAGGCAAGUAGUGCAGACAUUGAGAAAGAAGCAGAGAGACUGACAGAGUCAUGCCAGAAACAUCCUCUACUCAACACACAUAUGAACGCUUGACCAACACAUUGCCAAAGCACAGGUUUACAAUGAGGGGAAAUGACUGUAUAGCGUUACUUGUGUAGAGUUUGUUUUUAGGCUCAGAAAUGCUGGAAUAUGGACACAUGGGUUUCAUGAAUAAAAUGUACUGUUCUAUUCUUCUUGGUUUAAACAUGUCUCUAUCCUCUAAACUUUAAACAAUAAAGAUCUCAGGUGUAGAACUGGCAAAUGCACAGACACUGUUUUCAUAUUUUGUUUAUUAAUAGAUGUUUGCAUGGAAGUGAAUGUUUGAACAAGCUGAUGAGUGUCUGUGUAAAAGCUGACGGAUCGGUGAAGAUGAAAGAUGAAGGAUCAAAGGAGUGUUGUCAAGUUCCUACAAACAACUAAUGAACAACUCUCACUUCUUAUUCACUUGUUAUUGAAUACAGGGGAGUCGUGGCCUAGUGGUUAGAGAGUUUGACUCCUAACCCUAGGGUUGUGGGUUUGAGUCUCGGGCUGGCAAUUCCAUGACUUAGGUGCCAUUGAGCAAGGCACCCUACUGCCAACUGCUGUGUGUGUGUACAAUUUGGAUGGGUUAAAUGCAGAGCACUAAUUCUGAGUAUGGGUCACCAUACUUGGCUGUAUGUCACGUCACUUUCAAUACUGAAAGAAGACCUUAAGUGUCUUCUUAUUGAAAAAUAAUACUUUUUAUGUGUUAACUACAUUGUGUAAUUGUAUAUUGUUAUGCCCCAUGGCUCGAGAAGGACGUAACAAAAACGGGGACACACAAGAAAGUGCAAAUAACAUGAAUUUAUUAACAAAAUGGAACUAAAUAAAAAGAAAAUAGUGUAGUAGGAAGCAGUCAGGAAUCAGUAGUGUAAAGUUAAGUUAGCAAUGUUGGAUGCAUCAAAUAAAAUUUAAGAGAACUGGUUUAAACAGAAUCCAAACAAAACCAAGUCCGAAAUGCAGCUCCCCCCUGGCCAGGUGUCAUACUGCUUUUUAAAUCGCAAGACAGGAAAUCAACAACAGUUGCCCUUGAGCCAGGUGUCCCAGCCAAACUAUGAAAAAAAGUGUGACUUAUAGUCCGGAAAAUACAGUACUGUAAUUAUUAAUAAUUCAUAUUAUUUAAAAUUAAGUCUUGUAAAGUCAAGUCAAGUCACCUUUAUUUUUUAUAGCGCUUUAAACAAAAUACAUUGCGUCAAAGCAACUAAACAACAUUCAUUAGGAGAACAGUGUGUCAAUAAUGCAAAAUGAUAGUUAAAGGCAGUUCAUCAUUGAAUUCAGUUAUGUCAUAUCUGUUCAGUUUAAAUAGUGUCUGUGCAUUUAUUUGCAAUCAAGGCAACGAUAUCGCUGUAGACGGAGUUACCCCAACUAAGCAAGCCAGAGUCAACAGCGGCAAGGAACCGAAACUCUAUCGGUGACAGAAUGGAGAAAAAAAACUUUUUUUUUUUCAGAAUUUAGCAAUAAGAAAUUACUCGUCAUACAGUUUUUUAUUUCGACUAUGCAUUCCAUUCGUUUUUCAAAUUGGUGUGUUUCACCGGGACAUGAAGAAAUAUAGAGCUGAGUAUCAUCAGCAUAACAGUGAAAGCUAACACCAUGUUUCCUGAUGAUAUCUCCCAAGGGCAACAUAUAAAGCGUGAAGAAUAGCGGCCCUAGUACUGAGCCUUGAGGUACUCCAUACUGCACUUGUGUUAAACUUAUGUAAUCAAAUACAGUAAUAUAUAAUGUAUACAGUAUUGUUCAAAAUAAUAGCAGUACAAUGUGACUAACCAGAAUAAUCAAGGUUUUUAGUAUAUUUUUUAUUGCUACGUGGCAAACAAGUUACCAGUAGGUUCAGUAGAUUGUCAGAAAACAAACAAGACCCAGCAUUCAUGAUAUGCACGCUCUUAAGGCUGUGCAAUUGGGCAAUUAGUUGAAAGGGGUGUGUUCAAAAAAAUAGCAGUGUCUACCUUUGACUCAAAACUAUUUUGUACAAACAUUUUUUUUUCUGGGAUUUAGCAAUCCUGUGAAUCACUAAACUAAUAUUUAGUUGUAUGACCACAGUUUUUUAAAA